rnacentral:lncRNA from 1 species
GCAGUGCACACGGCUGCCAGCACAUGCUCCUUCACACUCACAUCCUGGCACUAGUGCAGACAAUUAGACAAAAAUGCACCUGCACCGACACUUCCUCCAUCCACACAGGGCCCCCUCCCUCCCUCCUUUCCUUUCUCCCUCAUGGAAUCAUCAGCCCUUAUUCAGGCCAGGAAACUACCUCCCACAUCCUACUUAGACCUAUGAAGUACACAAGAGACCAUUUUCCUUUUAAAAAUGAAUAUGAGGGGCCCUUACACAUAGAUAAAUGACAUUGAAGGGGAAGAGAAAAUGCCAGGGCCAGAGUGGCAGGUAGGACCUCAGUUGGGAACUGGGGGCAGGUGGAGAGAUUUCUGGGGAGGAGAAGCGCCAGGGGUGCUGAAGUCCCCACAAGGUCAUUCUCAGGUUGUCCCCGACAGCCCUGACUCUCCUGCUGCAGACCAGCCAAUCCCCAGCCCGAGGCCUCCCCACACUCUCCUGUUGGUCCGGCCGAGCCACGUGACCCUCCCGCUCUGUGGCAGCUGCUUGGAUGAUGGAUGCAGCUGCUCAGCUCUACCUGUUGGGGGACGGACUGCACAGCUCCUAAUUACCUCCUUCUUCAGUGAGGGCUGAGGGCUGGGGGCUCGACGCCGGGCUGUUAUGAGACCCCUCUCCUCCGCUGGGGCUGGGGCUGGGGCUGGGGCUGACAACCUGAACUACAGCCAGGCUUGGAGGCAGGCAGCAUUCCCUGAACUGCCCUAGGGUGAGGAGGGUGUGGGGGCACUAACCUGGGGUGUGGAGUGCGAGGAGUGCUUCUGGAAGGUUGACAGAGGGAGAAAGUGCAUCAUAAGUGACUUGGGAAACUGGGAUAGGAUAUUAAAUGAAUGACCUUUCUCCAAGGCCAUCCCACAGAGGGCAAGAUUCAGGUUAAAUAUCAAGGCAAACUUCCUGGCAGCCAGGGAUAAGUGCACUUGAGCAAAAGACAGAAAGGUGGAGAUAGAGGUUUGGAAAGCUUUUUAUAAGAUGAAUCAGAUCAUCAUUUUCCUGUCUGGUGGGUGGCUCGUGGCAAAUAGCUGCAGAAGUAGGCUGGAGUUAGAGUAGGAGGGCUGGAGGUAGAACUUGGAAUGAUUUGUUGGAGCGGUGGGUUGGGUGACACUGAACUGGACGCUUGAGGAGGUUGUGACACAUCAGUGUGGGAGGCUCCAGGUCUGGCCUGGCUUGGGGAGGGAUGAGGAAGACCCCAGGAUUGUAAAGAUGAUGGAACUCCUCCAGACUUCUCCCCGGGGGCACUGAGGUGUUAGGGGGCAGAGGCAUGUAUUCAACAACACCCCAGUGCAAUGGGAUGCCUGGUGGGUGUGAGUGCCCCUGGCUGGAGGCAGGCAAACAGGUGGUUUGGGAAUGGGACCACUACAAGAUUUCUUCUGAUUCUGA